GACGAACGCUGGCGGCGUGCCUAACACAUGCAAGUCGAGCGGAGAUUGAAGGGCUUGCUCUUCAAUCUUAGCGGCGGACGGGUGAGUAACGCGUGGGCAACCUGCCUUACACAGGGGGAUAACACAGGGAAACUUGUGCUAAUACUGCAUAACACAACGACGUGGCAUCACGAUGUUGUCAAAGGAGUAAUCCGGUGUAAGAUGGGCCCGCGUCCGAUUAGCUAGUUGGUGGGGUAAAGGCCUACCAAGGCGACGAUCGGUAGCCGAACUGAGAGGUUGAUCGGCCACAUUGGGACUGAGACACGGCCCAGACUCCUACGGGAGGCAGCAGUGGGGAAUAUUGCGCAAUGGGGGAAACCCUGACGCAGCAACGCCGCGUGAAGGAUGAAGGUUUUCGGAUUGUAAACUUCUUUAGUCGGGGACGAAUAAAUGACGGUACCCGAAGAAUAAGCCACGGCUAACUACGUGCCAGCAGCCGCGGUAA
rnacentral:rRNA from 1 species